GACGAACGCUGGCGGCGUGCCUAAUACAUGCAAGUCGAGCGGACAGAAGGGAGCUUGCUCCCGGAAGUUAGCGGCGGACGGGUGAGUAACACGUGGGCAACCUACCCUGUAGAUCGGGAUAACAUCGAGAAAUCGGUGCUAAUACCGGAUAAUCAUUUGAAGUGCAUGCUUCGAAUGUAAAAGAUGGCUCCGGCUAUCACUACGGGAUGGGCCCGCGGCGCAUUAGCUAGUUGGUAAGGUAAUGGCUUACCAAGGCAACGAUGCGUAGCCGACCUGAGAGGGUGAUCGGCCACACUGGGACUGAGACACGGCCCAGACUCCUACGGGAGGCAGCAGUAGGGAAUCUUCCGCAAUGGACUAAAGUCUGACGGAGCAACGCCGCGGGAGUGAUGAAGGUUUUCGGAUCGUAAAGCUCUGUUGUUAGGGAAGAACAAGUGCCGUUUGAAUAAGGCGGCACCUUGACGGUACCUAACCAGAAAGCCACGGCUAACUACGUGCCAGCCGCCGCGGUAAUAC
rnacentral:rRNA from 1 species